UGUCGUCCAAACACUUGAGACAAAAAAUGUGAGAAGAGAAAAGCAGAGUGAGUUAGCUUUAGGAGCCAGAAAAGGAGAUUUCAAAACAUGCUUAGGAAAUUGCGUGGUUACUACUACUAACUACUAACCCAACCUAACCUAAUUCUACUUUCUCUCUCUCUUAGUUUAUGUCUAUAUUUAGCGUUUGAAUUUAUGUUCAGGGUGCAUUCUCAACCCCACAAUAUUCUUCCUUCUUUUCCUCUUCUCACUAUUAUUAGCCACACCUUAAUCUUCAACACACUAGUUUUAUGCCAAUUCUGUAGGGUUUUUCUCUUGUGGGGCUUUCUAACCCUUUUCAUUAUGACCUACCCUCUCAAACCACAAUAUAUACCUCAUUCUCUUCUCUUCAUUCACUUCACAUUUCUCUUCUCACCAUCAUUCUCUCUUCCUCUCUUUCUCCCUACACUCUCCACCUUCUUCUUCUUCACCAUCCAUUUCUUACAACUCUACAAAAAAAAAUUCUACCACCUUAUUUACUAAGUAGAGAUUUAUUAGGGUUUAAUUUUGUUUUUCAUUUUGAUGCAUCUGAUCAUCAUGCAUACAUGCAUGACUAUAUGCCUGGCUCCCUGUAUGCCAUAUACGAAGCUUAUUGAAACAUCAAUAACCGUUGUGGAUGGCGUACGGGAAGCCAAGCAUAUUCCAUAUCUACAAACAUGGAGAUCAUCAUCAUCAAUAAAAUCAAAAUCUUGAUCUAUACUAAUACUUUUUUAUUUUAAUUGUAUUAUUACUAACCAAUCUUGAUUGUAGCAAGCAAGAGAGUACUCACGGCAUUGUCAUUUUCAAUGUUACAGAAGAAAGUUGUAAGGAGGCACGAGAAAGGAACAACAAGAGGAAGUUACGGAAAAAAGAACUGUUGGUGACAGUUAAUCAAUUACUGCUAACAUGGGAGUUAUGAAUGUUUUUAUUAUUUCUUGUUUCACUGUCUAUCUCAUGGACAUUUCAUAUGACCUUGUUAUUUUACAUGCCCUAAAAAAACCAAGAUUUACUGUUUCUUCUGGGAUGUUACUGUUAUUAAUUUUCAUUUAUUAUGGUUGAUUUGGAAGAAUUUUUUUUCUUCUGAUAAAUGUUUAUGGUAAUUGAUUUCAUUGAUAUGUUGUCUAAAAAAUGGUUUUUGAUUUAGGGGUUUUUUCAUGGCAAUAGUAUUAAUCUAGGUCUUUUUUUUUUUUAUAAAUAAAUCUUAUUAAUUUAUUAAUUAUGUUUGUUUUUAGGUUCUGAAUUUUGGACUGAGUUCUUAAAUUUAUUUGGUGUUUCUUAACUCAAUAGUAACCAAGCUAACUAUGUAAAAACACAACUUCUUCACUUCAUCAAAGGUCGUUUUUAAGUAUGUUCACAACUAGUCCUGCAAUAGGGUAAUCAAGGUUUUGAUUGACACAAUGAACUGUAAUUUUAUGGGUUACUCUUAUUUAAGUACUAGUAAUAGUUUAGAAGUUAAACUCACAUAAUAGUGAAUUUGAGUUUGAACUCUGACUCUUGCAUUUGUCAUCGUUGAUAUCAAUUGAGUUGUAUUUUUAGGGUUCAGCAACUGGUUACUUAUAUCUCAUUAAAAUUUAAUUGUGACAAAUUACUAACAUUCUGAAACUGUUAAGAAAGAUCUCGAAUUUAAAGAAUUUGAUAGAAACAAACAUGUUCUAUAAUAUAAAUUCUUGGGCUUCAAAUUUGUUUGGUUAGGCUGUAACAUGUAAAUUCUUGGGCUUCAAGGCCAUAAAAAUAUGAAGAAAAAAAAAUACAGAAGUUAUAACAACUAGGGUUUACGGUAGAUGCAGUUCCAAACACAAUAGUAUGAUAAGGCUUAGUUUUUGUUUGUUGUAUAACACAGCAUUAAGGGAAAAGGAAAAACUAACUUUGGACUAAAAUGAAGUAACAUUCUCUAUAUGGUACCAUAAAAUAUUGACAAACUUUCUUUCAUAGCAAAUAUAUUCAUUACUUUUGAUGUACAAAAAAGUACUUUAGUCAUUUCUAAGAAUUAAUGAGAUAUGAUAUUAUCAUAAUACCAUUAAUAAACACUAGUUUUAUUUGUUGUUUUGAAUAAGUAAUUUAAUAGUUUGAUAUAUGCAAGUGUGAUAGUAGUAGUAUAGGUCUGUUUUAUUGAGAGUUACUAGUGAAAGCAGGGUGGGUAAGUGUUGUGUGAUAGAAACAGAAAGAGAAAGAGAAACACACACGCAUGUGUGGGAAGGGACAGGGUUUGAAAUGAAGAAAAGAAAAGAAAAGAUCAUGGGAAAAGCAAAAGCAUGAUUGUAUGUAGCAGAAGGAGGAUUAUGAUGGUGAUGAUGAUGAUGAUGAAGAUGGCCCAGUGAAGAAGGGGAAUCUCAUUGAUAUGCAAAAAGGAAUUGGACCACUUUAUUUUUCUCUCUCUAUUUUCAAUUGGCUUUCAGGGAAUAUCGUAUACGGUCAAACCAGCUCAAAAAGCUUACACAAGGACAUUAUGCCCUUCACCCUUUUCCUUUUCAGGGACCACCCCCCUCCCUAUUCAAAUUUCUAUUCUUUAAUCAUCUUAUCAAUCAAAACAUAAUGUAACCCUAAAUCAACGUUUUAAAUAACAGCUGCGGUUAUGUAGGGUUUUCGUGAUUUUUGGUGGUAAAAAUGUUGUGAACUGACUACGGUUGUCGUGGUGUAAAUUAACUUUUUUUUAAUUAUAAAAAUGAUGAAUAACAUAUCGA